UGGAGGGCAUCUCGUAAAUCGGAACAUAGAAUAGUUUCCUAUGGAUAACCACAGAUUGAACAAAAGAUACAGUAUUAGAUGCUUCUCAGCGGCAAAUCUCAUGGAGGAUUGAGGAUUUGAUGGUUGCAACGCUACUCUGUCAUUGUAAGAAGUUCCUUUAAUACUGAUGUCAUGGAUAUAGAUUUUCUUUCGGAGCUAGCAGUAGUGAGUUUCGGAACAAGCUAGAACCAUGUAUGUACAGGUCCCGUAAUGUAAACUAAUAAUAAUAUAUAGUAGUUAUUUUGCUUUUUUUAGGGAUUGUUGUAAUCAAAUUAUGGGAUUUGUUUUCUGAUCAUUAGUUGAUUUUGUAUGUAAAUGCUUCUGAAGUUGAAUGUUAUGUUUUUGUCUGGUGUAUCAAAUAAGUAGGUGACAAUA